rnacentral:lncRNA from 1 species
AAGUAAAUUCAAUCUAUUUAAACCUCAUUGUAUCAUCCUCAAAAUUCACAAAUCCAACAAAAACUCAACUUUUAUAAUCCAAUCUGUAAAACCCAGCAGCAACCGACUUACUUGUUCCCUUCACAGUUCACCACAAAACUCAAUCUGCUGCAGAAUUCCAUUGGUAAUUUUAAUAAUUUCUGCAAAGUUAUUUUAUUUCAGCAUCUCAACUGUUUCUUCAUUCUAUGCUCAAAACCAAGAUUUCCAAAUUCAUACAUGCAUACAUCAUCAAAUCUAUUAUCUAUUUUUCAUAAGAAAUCAAAUAAAGAGUAAUUACAUAGGAUAAAAGAAAAGGGUUAGAGAUGAAGAAGGAAUUCUGGAGUGUUGCCGCCGGCGCUACGCGCCACGGCGACCGUCGAGAGGGAGACGUAGAGGUAGAGGACAAGGAGAGAGGGCGGCGGCGGCAGUACUGGAAGGGGAGACGGCUGGGCGCGCCUCUGUCGACACUGGGACGGCGGUGGUGGCGUUGCGUUCGGCCAGGAGAGAGGAAGGAGGAGGAGUCGCCGGCCUCCGGCCGCGGCUUGGCGCGACGAGGAGAGGCAAGAGACCGAGGGAGAGAGGGAAGGAGGGAGAAGUGGAGCAGCUGUGGGCGUGAACUAUGUGUGUUGUGGUGUGAGUUAGAUUAGGGAUUUAAGGGAGAGAAGGAAAUAUGGGCUUAGGAAUGGGCUCAGAUUAAUUAAGUAAUUGGGCUGCAUUUAUUUUGCUCUGGGCUGCAUAAUUCUUUUAAUUAAAUUGAACUUGGUAUUUUUAACACUAACCCAAAUUUUAAAGAAGCAUGCAUUUCAUUAUUUAAUUCAUUUUACUAUAUUUAAUGGAUUAAGAAUUUUAUAAAUCAAAUACUCAAGUUUUAAUUAAAUUAUUUUAAGUUUAAUUAUACCCUUAUAUUUAUAUUUAAAUUUAUCUGACUAGGUGCGGCGCGACUAGGACAUAACUGUUGAUCUGAAAUUAUUCAAGUUAUCUAUCAAAUCAUAUUUUCAGGUGUGGGAUUUAUUUCAGUACAUGCACGUGGUUAAUAUUUGUCCAUUUUAAUAUUAUGUGUUUACCGUAUGUGUUGUAAAAAUAUUUAUCGCUAGGGGACAACAUAAUUGGUCCAGGACUUCACCGUCCUUGGUAUGCCACAAUGCGAUUUCAUGUUACAGGGUUGCAACCAUUAUAUUGUCGCCAGGGGCCCACAUAUAGGGUCCGGGACAUUAAAGUCCUUGGAUUUGCCACAGUGCGUAUGGAAAUUAUGUUACGUUAUGACAAUAUGUGUUACCAUUUUAUUAACAUGGACAAUUAUUGCAUGUUCCACACUGAGUUACCCUGUAUGCUCAUCCCAUAUUUAACAGUUUCAGGUGAUUGAUAUUGGAGGCGCGUGGAGAGUCGAAUGGGCGCGUC